GGAUUCAUCCAGAAAUAGCUAGGUGGAAAUAAAUAAAAGUUAAUCAAAUCUGGUUUGAAUCAUAGAUUUAAAAUUAUAAAAACACGAAAAUAUCAGUAUUCACAGAUAUCGUAGUAAACAUAGAUGGAUUAAUCGAGAAAUAAGAGACUUUGAACCAUAUCUGUUUAGAAUCUCUUAGAGAUUAUCCUCAAGUAACAUGAAAAUCAUAAAACCAGUAGAGAGAUGAGGUCGGAUAGGGCAUGAAAUCGAAGGAAAACCCUAUGAAUCAAGGGGAAUAUCAGUGACAGUGGGCUGGGGUUAAAGAGGG
rnacentral:lncRNA from 1 species